GGCGAUGCCGGUACGCGGAUCGACGAGGCGGCGCUGCCGGCGUCGCUGAGGGCACGGUCACGCCGGCUGUUCGAGGCGGCCGUGUUGCUGC
rnacentral:tRNA from 1 species